UACGUAGGUGGCAAGCGUUGUCCGGAUUUACUGGGCGUAAAGAGCGCGCAGGCGGUCGUUCAAGUCGCGUGUGAAAGCCCCCGGCUCAACUGGGGAGGGUCACGCGAUACUGAUCGACUGGAAGGCAGGAGAGGGUAGUGGAAUUCCCGGUGUAGUGGUGAAAUGCGCAGAUAUCGGGAGGAACACCAGUGGCGAAGGCGGCACUCUGGGCCGGUACUGACGCUGAGGAGCGAAAGCGUGGGGAGCGAACAGG
rnacentral:rRNA from 1 species